CCCUUAGAUGUUCUGGGCCGCACGCGCGCUACACUGACUGGUGCAACAAGUGUCGCUCCUUGGCCGAUAGGCCUGGGCAAUCUUUGAACGCCAGUCGUGAUGGGGAUAGAUUCUUGCAAUUUUUGAUCUUCAACGAGGAAUUCCUAGUAAACGCGAGUCAUCAACUCGCAUUGAUUACGUCCCUGCCCUUUGUACACACCGCCCGUCGCACCUACCGAUUGAGUGAUCCGGUGAAUAAUUCGGACUGCAGCACUGCUUGGUCUCCAGGCUUUGCAGCGGAAAGUUUAGUGAACCUUAUCACUUAGAGGAAGGAGAAGUCGUAACA
rnacentral:rRNA from 1 species